AGGCCAUGGUGUGGACAUUUUCGGAGCAAAUCUUUAUACCUCUCCCAUGCUUCGUAUAAAGACUCGGAAUCCAACUGCGUGAAAGAAGUGAUGUCGUUUCUCAUCUU
rfam:Theobroma cacao cultivar Matina 1-6 chromosome 7, whole genome shotgun sequence.